rnacentral:ncRNA from 1 species
UGUUUCGGUGCGGGCUGCGCGAGCGGUACCAAAUCGAGGCAAACUCUGAAUACUAGAUAUGACCCAAAAAUAACAGGGGUCAAGGUCGGCCAGUGAUACGAUGGGGGAUAAGCUUCAUCGUCGAGAGGGAAACAGCCCGGAUCACCAGCUAAGGCCCCUAAAUGACCGCUCAGUGAUAAAGGAGGUGGGGGUGCAAAGACAGCCAGGAGGUUUGCCUAGAAGCAGCCACCCUUUAAAGAGUGCGU